rnacentral:rRNA from 1 species
AAUGGCUGCAGUAAUUUGACUGUACAAAGGUAGCAUAAUCAUUAGUUUUUUAAUUAAAAGCUUGUAUGAAAGGUUGGACGAAAUAAAAUCUGUCUCUUUUUAAUAUAAUUAGAAUUUAAUUUUUAAGUUAAAAAGCUUAAAUAAAUUUAAAAGACGAGAAGACCCUAUAGAGUUUAAUAAUUUUUUUUUUAUUAAUUAAAUUUAGAUUUAUUUAUUUUAUUUUAAAAAAAUUAUUUUAUUGGGGUAAUAAAAAGAUUAAAAUAAUUCUUUUUUAAAUAAAUCAUUAAUUUAUGAAAAUUUAUGAUCCAUUGAAUUUUGAUUAUAAGAUUAAAUUACCUUAGGGAUAACAGCGUAAUUUUUUUUAAGAGUUCAUAUCGAUAAAAAAGUUUGCGACCUCGAUGUUGGAUUAAAGAUUAGUUUAGGUGUAGAAGUUUAAAUUUUUGGUCUGUUCGACCAUUGAAUCUUUACAUGAUCUGAGUUCAAACCGGUGUAAGCCAGGUUGGUUUCUAUCUUUAAAAAGAUUUGAUAUUUUAGUACGAAAGGACCAAAUAUUAUAUAUAUAAAUAUUUAAAUUAUUGAAUAUU